GAUGAACGCUAGCGGCAGGCUUAAUACAUGCAAGUCGAGGGGCAGCACAGGUAGCAAUACUGGGUGGCGACCGGCAAACGGGUGCGGAACACGUACACAACUUACCUUCUGGUGGGGGAUAGCCUUUGGAAACGGAGAUUAAUACCCCAUAUUAUAUAUGAGCUGCAUGGUUUGUAUAUUAAAGAUUUAUUGCCGGAAGAUGGGUGUGCGUAUGAUUAGGUAGUUGGCGGGGUAACGGCCCACCAAGCCGACGAUCAUUAACUGGUGUGAGAGCACGACCAGUCACACGGGCACUGAGACACGGGCCCGACUCCUACGGGAGGCAGCAGUAAGGAAUAUUGGUCAAUGGACGGAAGUCUGAACCAGCCAUGCCGCGUGGAGGAUGAAGGUCCUCUGGAUUGUAAACUUCUUUUAUAGGGGGCGAAAAAAGGGAAUUCUUUCUCGUCUGACGGUACCCUAUGAAUAAGCACCGGCUAACUCCGUGCCAGCCGCCGCCGUAAGAC
rnacentral:rRNA from 1 species